rnacentral:rRNA from 1 species
GAUGAACGCUGGCGGCGUGCCUAAUACAUGCAAGUCGAGCGAACAGAUGAGGAGCUUGCUCCUCUGACGUUAGCGGCGGACGGGUGAGUAACACGUGGAUAACCUACCUAUAAGACUGGGAUAACUUCGGGAAGCCGGAGCUAAUACCGGAUAAUAUAUUGAACCGCAUGGUUCAAUAGUGAAAGACGGUUUUGCUGUCACUUAUAGAUGGAUCCGCGCCGCAUUAGCUAGUUGGUAAGGUAACGGCUUACCAAGGCAACGAUGCGUAGCCGACCUGAGAGGGUGAUCGGCCACACUGGAACUGAGACACGGUCCAGACUCCUACGGGAGGCAGCAGUAGGGAAUCUUCCGAAAUGGGCGAAAGCCUGACGGAGCAACGCCGCGUGAGUGAUGAAGGUCUUCGGAUCGUAAAACUCUGUUAUUAGGGAAGAACAAAUGUGUAAGUAACUAUGCACGUCUUGACGGUACCUAAUCAGAAAGCCACGGCUAACUACGU